UACGAAGGAUCCAAGCGUUGUCCGGAAUUACUGGGCGUAAAGCGUGCGUAGACGGUUACAUAAGUCGGGUGUGAAAGCCCCGGGCUCAACCUGGGAAUUGCAUUCGAGACUGCGUAGCUAGGGUGCGGAAGAGGGAAGCGGAAUUUCCGGUGUAGCGGUGAAAUGCGUAGAUAUCGGAAGGAACACCAGUGGCGAAAGCGGCUUCCUGGUCCAGCACCGACGUUCAGGCACGAAAGCGUGGGGAGCAAACAGG
rnacentral:rRNA from 1 species